AUGAACCAAGGUAUGUCCAUAGGUAUGGAUGAAGCAUUCACAAUGUUUUUUGAGGGAUGCUCACCUUAUGGUCCUUUCUGGGACCGCUAUCUUGAGUACUGCAAAGAAAGCUUGGCCAGGCUACAUGAAGUUAUGUUUUUGAGGUAUGAGGAGCUUGUGCCUGAUACACCUAAGGUUAUCAGGAAGCUAGCAAGCUUCCUCAGAGCCCCGUUUACCCAGACGGAAGAUAGCAAUGGAGUGGUGGAGCAAGUUCAUGAUUAA
rnacentral:rRNA from 1 species